AUUAUUAAUUAAAAUAAUAUUUACACAUGCAAGUCUCAGCACCCCUGUGAGAAUGCCCUUCUUUACCUAUAAGUAAAUAAGGAGUAGAUAUCAGGCACAUUAUAUGCCCAUAACAUCUUGCCAAGCCACACCUCUACAGGAAUUCAGCAGUGAUAAACAUUGAUUAAUAAGCGUCAACAAGCUUGAAUCAGUAAUAAUUUUAAGAGUUGGUAAAUUUCGUGCCAGCCACCGCGGUUAUACGAGAAACUCAAAUUAAUAAAAACGGCCUAAAGCGUGAUUAAAUUAUAUUAAAUUAAAUAGAAAUAAAAAUUAACUUAACUGUCGCACGUAUUUGUUAAACGGAGAACCAAAAACCGAAAGAUAUUCUAAUAAAUAAAUUACUUGAGUUCACGAAAGCUAAGAAACAAACUAGGAUUAGAUACCCUACUAUGCUUAGCCUUAAACUUUGGAGCCUACCCGCCUGAGUACUACGAGCCACAGCUUAAAACUCAAAGGACUUGGCGGUGCUCUACUCCCCCUAGAGGAGCCUGUUCUAUAAUCGAUAACCCCCGCUAAACCUCACCACUUAUUGCUAAUACCGCUUAUAUACCGCCGUCGUCAGCUCACCAUUUAAAUGAAUAAUAGUAAGCAUAAUGAUAAACAUAAAAACGUCAGGUCAAGGUGUAGCGGAUUAAGUGGAAAGAAAUGGGCUACAUUUUCUAAAUCAGAAAAAUACGAAAAAUUUAAUGAAAAACUAUUUAAAGGUGGAUUUAGCAGUAAAAAGAAAACAGAGUGUUCUUUUUAAAUCGGCCCUAGAGCGCGCACACACCGCCCGUCACCCUCCUCAGAAAAACAGUUAAUUAUAUAAUAAAAG
rnacentral:ncRNA from 1 species